CGUGUACAAAUUAUAUAUAUAUAUUAGGAGUGAGGCUACUAUGCUUCUGGAAUCACGGAGCCUUCCGUACUUCCAGGUCGUUUUUUAUAUUGCGACUUUCGAAUCGUCGAUCGGCUCCGUUAAACUUGAUCUAGAGUAUUUGAAGUAUCUAGAAAAUAAAUUAUGCGUUUUUUCGAUAUUAUUUGCUUAGUAAACGAAGGAGCUCAAAAUCAAUGGCUGAAAAUAAAAAUCUUACAAAACUUGAUAAUAUGACAUUAAAAUUUUAGAUCAAAGAUAUUGAUCUUGUUUUAUAUAGUAUAAAAAAUUUUCUAUCAAAAUUUCACGUGAUUUGGAUAUUUCUACGCCGUUAAACUUGCAAACGGCUCACUACAGCUAUUAAAAUUAUUGAUUUUGAGCUCCUUCGAUCACUAGGUAAAUGAUAUCGAAAAAUCAUAAAAUUUAUUUAUUUUCUAUGUACUUCAAAUACUCUAGAUCAAGUUUAACGGAACCGAUCGACGAUUCGAAAGUCGCAAUAUUGAAAACGACCUGUAAGUACGGAAGGCUCAAUUUUUCCAAAAGUAUAGUAGCCUCACUCUAUAUAUUAGAUGUUGUUCAUAACUUAUCUUUGGAUUGUGAUUUAGGAUACAUAUA
rnacentral:lncRNA from 1 species